rnacentral:rRNA from 1 species
GGUUUGAUCAUGGCUCAGAUUGAACGCUGGCGGGAUGCUUUACAUGCAAGUCGAACGGCAGCACGGACUUCGGUCUGGUGGCAGUGGCGAACGGGUGAGUAAUGUAUCGGAACGUGCCUGAUAGCGGGGAUAACUACGCGCGAAAGCGUAGCUAAUACCGCGUACGCCCUUCGCGGAAAGCAGGGGACCUUCGGGCCUCGCACUAUUGAAGCAGCCGAUAUCGGAUUAGCUAGUUGAAGGUGAUGCGCGGCUCGCAAGGCGACGAUCCGUAGCUGGUUGAGAGGACGACCAGCCACACAGGACUGAGACUGACGAACUCCUACCAGGAGAGGCAGCAGGUGAAAUUUUGAAUAAUGGGGAAACCCUGAUCCAGCCAUCCGCGUGUGCCGAUGAAGGCCUUCGGGUUAAAGCACUUUUGGCAGGAAAAGCAGCUGGGAUAAUACCCCGUGCAACUGACAGUACCUGCAGAAUAAGCACCGGCCCUUUCGUGCCAGCAGCCGCGGUAAUACGUAGGGUGCAAGCGUUAAUCGGAAUUACUGGGCGUAAAGCGUGCGCAGGCGGUUCCGGAAAGAAGAUGUGAAAUCCCAGGGGCUGCUGGAACUGCAUUUUUAACUACCGAGCUAGAGUGUGUCAGAGGGAGGUGGAAUUCCGCGUGUAGGUGAAAUGCGUAGAUAUGCGGGAGGAACACCGAUGGCGAAGGCGGCCUCCUGGGAUAGCACUGACGCUCAUGCACGAAAAGCGUGGAGAGCAAACGGAUUAGAUACCCUGGUGAUCCACGCCUAAACGAUGUCAACUAGCUGUUGGGGCCUUCGGGCCUUGGUAACACCAGCUAACGCGUGAAGUUGACCGCCUGGGAAGUAUGAUCCAUAGAUUAAAACUCGGAAUUGACGGGGACCCGCACAAGCGGUGGAUGAUGUGGAUUAAUUCGAUGCAACGCGAAAAACCUUACCUACCCUUGACAUACAGGAAUCCCGAAGAGAUUUGGGAGUGCUCGCAAGAGAACCGGAAUUUAGGUGCUGCAUGGCUGUCGUCAGCUCGUGUCGUGAGAUGUUAGGUUAAGUCCCUGGCGACGCAGCUGCCGUCAUUAGUUGCUACGAAAGGAGCACUCUAAUGGAGACUGCCGGUGACAAACCGGAGGAAGGUGGGGAUGACGUCAAGAUCCUCAUGGCCCAUAUGGGUAGGGCUUCACGUCAUACAGUGGUCGGGACAGAGGGUCGCCAACCGCGAGGGGAGCCAAUCCCGAGCCCGAUCGUAGUCCGGAUCGCAGUCUGCAACUCGACUGCGUGAAGUCGGAAUCGCUAGUAAUCGCGGAUCAGCAUGUCGCGGUGAAUACGUUCCCGGGUCUUGUACACACCGCCCGUCACACCAUGGGAGUGGGUUUUACCAGAAGUAGUUAGCCUAACCGUAGAGGCGAUUACCACAUUGGGAUUCAUGACUGGGGUGAAGUCAUGUGAGUAG